UGCUUGUGCUCGGAGUAUUCCAAUCUAUA
rnacentral:sRNA from 1 species